rnacentral:lncRNA from 1 species
AUGGACAUUUCUUCCAAUGCAAAACCAGAAGCUGGCCAUGACUUUUCUGAUCAGUUCCAGAGAGACCAAGGUAGUAUGAUGGAGGAUGUUUCAGGGGCUCAACCACAACUCAUGCCUGUUCCAGAAUUUAACCUUGAACCCUGUCAUGCUGAGCCAGCCAUUUCUUCUGUCCAUUCAGACACUGCGAGUGUAAUACCCUGUGAAAGAGAACAGCAAGAGACCGAGAACAUCCCUUCCUUGGCUCGAGCCCUUAAGGAGCUUCAUAAACUUCUGAUGUCCAACACUUGUCCAACAGUUUCUGGAAGGAUUCCUCUAUCUGAUGCUAAUGAUACUACACCAAGACAAGAUGUUGUUGAAGUGGACCAGGAUCCUGCUGCAACAAACCAUGUCACUCUGAACCCAACUAUUGACUCAUCCUCUAAUACUGCCACAGCUAAUGACAUGGAAGAAAGUGUUGCCAAAGCUGACUUCACUUCUCAAUCAGUGGGAGAUAUUCCAGAUGUACCAACACCAAGCAAUCCAGGGCACACAGAGAACCAACCUUCUAGACAGGUAAAUCCCAUAGUGGAACAAAAGAAUGAGUGCCCUUAUGCGGCUGAAGAAAAUCGGGCCAUUGUUAUUGAAGAAGGUUCUGGGCCGGUGACGACUUCCCAAGGAGAUCUUGAGUUCCCUGAGGGUCAGCAAGGGCAGGACAUUGUGGACAAAAACACCUCAGGCAUUGACAUCUCUGCUGACCUGUUUCAGCAGCGCCCGCUUUCUGUAGCAGCUGGCUCAUCAACCAAUUCCAGCCUAGGGCCUGUUGCAUCUCCUCAAACUGAAACCACUGAGACGGUUCCUCUUUUCCUUGGAGACACCAUUCAACCCGCACCACAGCCCUCGAUGGGACAGUUUCCACUAGAGCACAUUCAGAGGAUCCAGGCAUCAGGGUUUUCAGCCCUUGAGGCUGCAGAGGCACUGGAACAGGCUCAAGGCAGCGUGGAGCUUGCCUUAUUGGUGCUGCUUGCAAGAAAGAUCACUGUGCCCUCAUAG